GACGAACGCUGGCGGCGUGCCUAAUACGUGCAAGUCGAGCGCAGGAAGCUGACGGAACUCUUCGGAGGGAAGGCAGUGGAAUGAGCGGCGGACGGGUGAGUAACACGUCAGGAACCUGCCUCACGGGUUGGGAUAACUCCGAGAAAUCGGAGCUAAUACCGGAUAGUUCAUCGGACCGUAUGGUCUGUUGAUGAAAGGCGCUUCGGCGUCACCUUGAGCUGGCCUUGCGGUGCAUUAGCUAGUUGGUGGGGUAACGGCCCACGAAGGCGACGAUGCAUAGCCGACCUGAGAGGGUGAUCGGCCAGACUGGGACUGAGACACGGCCCAGACUCCUACGGGAGGCGGCGGGAGGGAAUGUUCCAGAAUGGACGAAAGUCUGAUGGAGCAACGCCGCGUGAGUGAUGAAGGUUUUCGGAUCGUAAAACUCUGUUGUAAGGGAAGAACACAUACGAGAGGAAAUGCUCGUUCCUUGACGGUACCUUACGAGAAAGCCACGGCUAACUACGUGCCAGCAGCCGCAGUAA
rnacentral:rRNA from 1 species